ensembl:snRNA U6 U6 spliceosomal RNA
GUGCUCGCUUUGGCAGUGCAUGUACUAAAAUUGGAACAGUACAGAGAUUAGCAUGGCCCCUGAGCAAGGAUGACACGCAAAUUUGUGAAGCAUUCCAUAUUUUU